rnacentral:rRNA from 1 species
AAACCGUUGAAAGGGAAGCGAAUGGAGUUAGCAAUUCGCCCUGCCAGAUUCAGUUGUUCGCGCUUCGCGACGUGCGCGCUCUCGAUCCGCAUGGACGAGACGUGCGCGGGUGCGACGUGCGUACGGCGCACUUCUGGCGGGCGAGCGUCAGCGUCGGUCGCCGAUGGGCGAUAAGGUCGCGAGGAAGGUGGACGGGCCUCCGGGCGCGUUGUUAAGACUCGCGUUCGCAUGGCUCGACGGCGACCGUGGCUCCUUCACGCGAAGGCGACCCGGGUCUGGAUGGCGACUCGUGCGAUCGGUCCGGACUGUCGACCGUGGCGGACGGUCCCCUGUGCGCUCUAACUGCUGCCGGUAGCUCGCACGGUGCUCGCACACUACACAUGGAAAACACUGACCACCUUCCUGCUCCCUCCGACCCGUCUUGAAACACGGACCAUGGAGUCUAACCUGUGCUCCAGUCUCCCGGUGAUCGAGACCCUUGGGCGCAAUGAAAGUAAAGGUCAUCCUAGACGAUAGAAGUGAGAAUUCCGCUUCGUCUCGUUGCGCGCCGCAUCAUCUUCCGAUCUAUUCUGCUCUUCGAAAGGAUUGAGUAUGAGCGUAUCUGUUGGAACCCGAAAUAUGGUGAACUAUGCCUGAAUAGGGUGAAGCCAUGGGAAACACUGGUGGAAGCUCUUACCGAUUCUGACGUGCACAUCUAUCGUCAAAUUUGCGAAUAACUACUAAAGACUAAUCGAACCAUCUAGUAUCUGGUUCCCUCCUAAG